GACGAACGCUGGCGGCGUGCUUAACACAUGCAAGUCGAACGAUGAAGCCGGAGCUUGCUCCGGUGGAUUAGUGGCGAACGGGUGAGUAACACGUGAGCAAUCUGCCCUUGACUCUGGGAUAACUGCGGGAAACUGUAGCUAAUACCGGAUACGACACCUUGGGGCAUCCCAGGGUGUGGAAAGAAUUUCGGUCAAGGAUGAGCUCGCGGCCUAUCAGCUAGUUGGUGAGGUAAUGGCUCACCAAGGCGACGACGGGUAGCAGGCCUGAGAGGGUGACCGACCACACUGGAACGGAUACACGGGCGAGACGCGUACGGGAGGCAGCAGUGGGGAAUAUUGCACAAUGGGCGAAAGCCUGAUGCAGCAACGCCGCGUGAGGGAUGAAGGCCUUCGGGUUGUAAACCUCUUUUAGCAGGGAAGAAGCGAAAGUGACGGUACCUGCAGAAAAAGCACCGGCUAACUACGUGCCAGCCGCCGCCGUAA
rnacentral:rRNA from 1 species